UACGAAGGGGGCUAGCGUUGCUCGGAAUCACUGGGCGUAAAGCGCACGUAGGCGGCUUUUUAAGUCAGAGGUGAAAUCCUGGAGCUCAACUCCAGAACUGCCUUUGAUACUGGAGAGCUUGAGUCCGGGAGAGGUGAGUGGAACUGCGAGUGUAGAGGUGAAAUUCGUAGAUAUUCGCAAGAACACCAGUGGCGAAGGCGGCUCACUGGCCCGGUACUGACGCUGAGGUGCGAAAGCGUGGGGGAGCAAACAGG
rnacentral:rRNA from 1 species